rnacentral:rRNA from 1 species
AUUGAACGCUGGCGGCAUGCCUUACACAUGCAAGUCGAACGGCAGCACGGGGGCAAUCCUGGUGGCGAGUGGCGAACGGGUGAGUAAUAUAUCGGAACGUGCCCAGUAGUGGGGGAUAACUGCUCGAAAGAGCAGCUAAUACCGCAUACGACCUGAGGGUGAAAGGGGGGGAUCGCAAGACCUCUCGCUAUUGGAGCGGCCGAUAUCAGAUUAGCUAGUUGGUGGGGUAAAGGCCUACCAAGGCAACGAUCUGUAGUUGGUCUGAGAGGACGACCAGCCACACUGGGACUGAGACACGGCCCAGACUCCUACGGGAGGCAGCAGUGGGGAAUUUUGGACAAUGGGCGCAAGCCUGAUCCAGCAAUGCCGCGUGCAGGAAGAAGGCCUUCGGGUUGUAAACUGCUUUUGUCAGGGAAGAAAUCCUCUAGGUUAAUACCCUUGGGGGGAUGACGGUACCUGAAGAGUAAGCACCGGCUAACUACGUGCCAGCCGCCGCAGUAAAAC